rnacentral:rRNA from 1 species
GAUGAACGCUGGCGGCGUGCCUAAUACAUGCAAGUCGAGCGAACAGACGAGGAGCUUGCUCCUCUGACGUUAGCGGCGGACGGGUGAGUAACACGUGGAUAACCUACCUAUAAGACUGGGAUAACUUCGGGAAACCGGAGCUAAUACCGGAUAAUAUAUUGAACCGCAUGGUUCAAUAGUGAAAGACGGUUUUGCUGUCACUUAUAGAUGGAUCCGCGCCGCAUUAGCUAGUUGGUAAGGUAACGGCUUACCAAGGCAACGAUGCGUAGCCGACCUGAGAGGGUGAUCGGCCCAACUGGAACUGAGACACGGUCCAGACUCCUACGGGAGGCAGCAGUAGGGAAUCUUCCGCAAUGGGCGAAAGCCUGACGGAGCAACGCCGCGUGAGUGAUGAAGGUCUUCGGAUCGUAAAACUCUGUUAUUAGGGAAGAACAAAUGUGUAAGUAACUAUGCACGUCUUGACGGUACCUAAUCAGAAAGCCACGGCUAACUACGUG